UACGUAGGGUGCAAGCGUUGUCCGGAAUUAUUGGGCGUAAAGAGCUUGUAGGCGGUUUGUCGCGUCUGCUGUGAAAUUUCGGGGCUCAACCCCGAACUUGCAGUGGGUACGGGCAGACUAGAGUGUGGUAGGGGAGACUGGAAUUCCUGGUGUAGCGGUGAAAUGCGUAGAUAUCGUAAGGAAGACCAGUGGCGAAGGCGGGUCUCUGGGCCGGUACUGACGCUGAGGAGCGAAAGCGUGGGUAGCAAACAGG
rnacentral:rRNA from 1 species